rnacentral:tRNA from 1 species
GGGGAUUUAGCUCAAUGGUAGAGCGCUUACCUAGGAAGCGCAAGGCCCUGGGUUCGAUCCCCAGCUCCG